UACGGAGGGGGCUAGCGUUGUUCGGAAUUACUGGGCGUAAAGCGCGCGUAGGCGGACCUGCAAGUCGGGGGUGAAAGCCCGAGGCUCAACCUCGGAACUGCCUUCGAUACUGCGGGUCUCGAGUCCGGGAGAGGUGAGUGGAAUUCCUAGUGUAGAGGUGAAAUUCGUCGAUAUUAGGAAGAACACCAGUGGCGAAGGCGGCUCACUGGCCCGGUACUGACGCUGAGGCGCGAAAGCGUGGGGAGCAAACAGG
rnacentral:rRNA from 1 species